AUUACAGUAAUGAGCAGGUAAGUUUAAUACUGUGCUGUAUGACAGAUGAAGUCAUUGUGCUAGCAGUGCUUAAUCUUGGUCUGCGUAUUUGAUUUUUGUACUUGUGGUGUAAUUGGAUCAGAUUUUCUUAAUUCUACCUGUAACUGGUUUGUACUGACAAUAGGAGGGAAAGGAGAAGCACGGAGGGAAUGAGCAAGACUGAACUACUCCCACAUUUUCUUGGAUUUGUGUCUGUGUGUGUGUUGGCUGAUGAUGAGUGAUGCUGCCAGGAGGCUCAUCGCCCAGCAGUCUGCUCUGUCAGGGUUUCCACUCCCCUGACUGAUGGGACCUGAGCUUCACGGCUGAAGAGUAAAUGAAGGCCCUCUCAGCUCCACGUGGCACUGGUAACCUCGGGGACUUCUCUAGGCCUAACAGUACCUUGUGUUGGUACUGCCUGCAUCUCAGCAGCAAACUAAGCCAGCAGGGUUUGGGGAAGGGUCUUGCUGAAGAGGAGGAGGUUAUGGAGGAGAUGCUGAAAGGAGGUGGUUGUACAGAGUCAUUUGCUUUGCCUGUUGCUUUCUUGGACUGCUUCGCUCUGGAUUCCUGAAGCAGAUCUCUCCUGGCCUCUCUUUACAGCUUCUCUCAUUUCCUUGGUGGAAGUGAGUUUAGAUCUUGAAUCUAUUUGUCAUAUACCCAUCCUCAUCCCUGGAGGAGCUCAAGGCCAGGUUGGAUGGGGCCCUGGGCAGCCUGAGCUGGUGGGGGGCAGCCUUGCCCACAGCAGGGAGUUGGAACUAGAUGGGCUUUAAGGACCCUUCCAAACCCAAACCAUUCUGUGAUUCUAUGAAAUUCCUCUUUUCUCCACCAUAUGCUCAUUGCAUUGUCUCUGCUUCUCCCUCCCUUCCACACCCAGCUGAGAAGCUUCCCAGCUCCUAGAGGAUGGGAAGAAGCUUCCCAGAGGAUGAGAGGGCAGAGCUGUUCUUUAGAGGGCUUCUACAAGUGUCUGAGGGCCACUUCCCCCCCUUUUUUUUUUGGGUGGCAGUCUCUCUGCUUUUUCUAGGGAGUCCUACUUUGCUGCUUUGGUUCUGGAUGCAAUUCUAAAUUAUGGAGAGAUCCUAUCUUAAGACUUGUUCAGAUGUUAACUGUUCUCACAGUUCCUGUGAUGAAAGUGAUAGCUUCUGCACACACUGAGGGAGUUGUGUAAGCUUGUUAAAGACCCUGGUUAUGUUGGCCAGUUCUCUGCUGCAGCUUUUUUGGUUAUAUGAUGAGAGGUAAUUUUAAGAACAAGAAUGUAAUCGGGUCAAAAAUCAAACUUCAGCAGAGGCUGAUUUGUUGUGCAUAGGUAUGUUUUGGUUGCUGGGCAUUGCUCGCAAUAGAAGUUGGAAGAAUCAUUCAACUUCAUUUCUCCCAGUGGUCUUUCCUGUCUGCAAAUUGUGGCUUUCCUGAUACAAUUUCAUUUAAGACUGCUGGACACUGGUUUCUGUUCUAUACUAAAUGUACAUUUGUCUGUCUGUCACAAAUGUUGUGGUGAAAAUAAUAAAACCCAAAGAGGAACAAAAAUAUUUCCUUUUACCUUUGUGCUUUUUUUUUUUUGCCCUAUAGAUUAGCUGUGGCUAUGUUUUGUUAUGACCUCUGUCUUUCCUCAUAUGAGUUUGAAUUUCACACUUCUGCCAGUGAGAAGAGCAAAUUUAAUAAAACACUCAGGUAAGAUGAGGUGAGGAUGUUGGAGUCCUAAGCCAUGCUUCUGUCGUGUUUGUGGCGUCACGGUGCUUCUCAUCUGUAAUCACAAUGGCCUUGGAAUGCCAGGGUAGAAAAUACCUUCAGAAAGUGUGCAUAUCAGGUAGUUAAUGCUUUUGAUACCUAGAAAACAUGCAUCUGGGCUGCCACCCACCAACUCAGGCUGCCCACGGUCCCAUCCAGCCUGGCCUGGAAUACCUUCGGGGAUGGUGUAUCCACAGCUUCUCUGGUCAAUCCAGUUCUCACCUGUCCUGGUGGGGCAACUCAGGUGUCUGAGCAUCUGAUGUCUUUUUAGGCACUUGAUAUUUCUGAAAGGAGGUUGUGGCGAGGUAGGGAUCAGCCUCUUUUUCUGUGUAAAUUGUCAUAGGACUAAAGGGAAUGGCCUCAGGAUGUACUAGGGGAGCUUCAGGUUGGAUAUUAGGAAAAAUUCCUUCUCAGAAAGAGUGGUAAGGCACUGGAAUAGGCUGCCUAGGAAGGUGUUACCAUCCCUGCGUCCUUGGAGAAAUGGUAGGGGUAGGUGGAUGGUUGGACUGGAUGAUCCUGGAGGUCAUUUCCAGCCUUGGUGAUUCUGUGAUUCUUUUGGCAUGGAACCACCACUCUCCAAGAGUAUAGGUUUUCCAGUGGUCUGGUGUCACGUUAGCUCGUCCCUCGAAGAUGGCAUGGGCAUACUUUGGAAACAUUUAAAAAUGGCAUUGUUGCCUAUGUUUAAAAACAGAGAACUCUCCUGUAAGUGUUGGUAAAAAUCUCAAAGCUGCAGCUUUUUAUCUGCCUGGAAGAGUUCAUCAUCAAUACAUCUAUCCUCAGACCCCAGUUUUGUUCAUCUCCCUGCCUCAGCAUUUGUCCUUAAAGCCCAGACUGGAAGAGCCAAUAAACAAAUCUGACCAUGGGGAAGUGUGUGGAUUCUGUUUAAGUUACUUGACUCUCGCAAAGAUGUGAUUCAAUUGCUGUAAGAUUACUUACUGAAGGUUGUAUGGAUGGACUGAAAAGUUGAAUCCAUGGAUUCAACACUGCAAAAAUCCAGAUGUCUGAGCACUUAAACAGUGCGGCCUCAAAGAUGUAUGGGUUUAUGGGAUUGUGAGUGCUGCAAACUUCAAUAUUUUCAUUGUUGACAGGAUCGGGAUUUUUACUUUAUAUUAAAUAGUUUCCAGGCAGCUGAGCAAAGUAGAGUCUGAUUGUUUGCUUUCUUCCCUAUUACUGGCUGGCAGUAUCAUAGCUGUUUUAAUGAAAUAGCCUUUAUCCUACCAGAGGC
rnacentral:lncRNA from 1 species